rnacentral:sRNA from 1 species
AGGUACAUGACCCUGCCAUGUGGGCACAAUGUCAGCUCUGUUUCUUCUCCAUUUUCUGCUGAAAUUUUCUCUUUGUCUGCAGAGUUGUGCAGUUUCAAUACAUAAUAUCUAGGAAUGGAUUUCUGCUUAUUUUUCAUGUGAUAUUCAUUGACCACCUGAGUGUUUAGAGAUGACUUCUAUAACUGUUUAAAACUUACCAAUAUUUUGUCUCUGCACCCUACUGUCUAAUAUACUUGGGGGUUCACAACUGGCAAUUAUGCAAUCUAAAAAUAAUAAAAGUUUUUUAUUUCUGUGAUAGGUUUUUGAAUUCCAGUUGACUGCAGAGGACAUGAAAGCCAUAGAUGGCCUAAACAGAAAUCUCCACUAUUUUAACAGUGAUAGUCUUGCUAGCCACCCUAAUUAUCCAUAUUCAGAUGAAUAUUAACAUGGAGGGCUUUGCCUGAUGUCUGCCAGAAGCCGUGUGUGGGGAUGGUGACGCAGAGGACGUCUCUAUGCCAGUGACUGGACACAUCAUCACCUCUACUUAAAUCCAUCCUGCUUAGCGACUUCAGUCAACUAGAGCUAAGUCCAUAGGCCAGAAAGACAAUAAAUGUUUAUCAUUUUGAAAUAA